GACGAACGCUGGCGGCGUGCUUAACACAUGCAAGUCGAACGGUAAGGCCCUUCGGGGUACACGAGCGGCGAACGGGUGAGUAACACGUGGGCGAUCUGCCCUGCACUUCGGGAUAAGCCUGGGAAACUGGGUCUAAUACCGGAUAGGACCACUGCCUGCAUGGGUGGUGGUGGAUAGCUAUCGCGGUGUGGGAUGGGCCCGCGGCCUAUCAGCUUGUUGGUGGGGUGAUGGCCUACUAAGGCGACGACGGGUAGCCGGCCUGAGAGGGUGACCGGCCACACUGGGACUGAGAUACGGCCCAGACUCCUACGGGAGGCAGCAGUGGGGAAUAUUGCACAAUGGGCGCAAGCCUGAUGCAGCGACGCCGCGUGAGGGAUGACGGCCUUCGGGUUGUAAACCUCUUUCAGCACCGACGAAGCGCAAGUGACGGUAGGUGCAGAAGAAGGACCGGCCAACUACGUGCCAGCAGCCGCCGUAA
rnacentral:rRNA from 1 species